UAUAUAAUAUUGGUUUGGAGUAAAAUGAGUAUGUCAAUUAAAAUUUUUUCCUAUCUUUGUUUGAUUAGUCCAUUUUGUGUUUUGAAGUUGCGCUCUCCAAAAUAUCCCUAGACCUCCAAAAUCGGAGGUAAGAUUUGAUCCCAUUUUAGUUGAUCCAACGACCAAAGAUUUUUACCAACUUAAUAUGUAUAUAUAUAUACAUACACACACACACACAUAUAUAUAUAUAUAGACACACACAUAUACAUACACAUAUACGCACACACACACACACACACA
rnacentral:lncRNA from 1 species